rnacentral:rRNA from 1 species
ACGAACGCUGGCGGCGCGCCUAAUACAUGCAAGUCGAGCGGAAUGAUGAAGAAGCUUGCUUCUUCUGAUUUUAGCGGCGGACGGGUGAGUAACACGUGGGCAACCUACCUUGUAGAUUGGGAUAACUCCGGGAAACCGGGGCUAAUACCGAAUAAUCCAUUUUGCUUCAUGGCGAGAUGUUGAAAGACGGUUUCGGCUGUCACUAUAAGAUGGGCCCGCGGCGCAUUAGCUAGUUGGUAGGGUAAUGGCCUACCAAGGCGACGAUGCGUAGCCGACCUGAGAGGGUGAUCGGCCACACUGGGACUGAGACACGGCCCAGACUCCUACGGGAGGCAGCAGUAGGGAAUCUUCCACAAUGGACGAAAGUCUGAUGGAGCAACGCCGCGUGAGUGAAGAAGGUUUUCGGAUCGUAAAACUCUAUUGUAAGGGAAGAACACGUACGAGAGUAACUGCUCGUACCUUGACGGUACCUUAUUAGAAAGCCACGGCUAACUACGUG